rnacentral:rRNA from 1 species
GGGUUGUGAGGUUAAGCGACUAAGCGUACACGGUGGAUGCCCUGGCAGUCAGAGGCGAUGAAGGACGUGCUAAUCUGCGAUAAGCGUCGGUAAGGUGAUAUGAACCGUUAUAACCGGCGAUUUCCGAAUGGGGAAACCCAGUGUGAUUCGUCACACUAUCAUUAACUGAAUCCAUAGGUUAAUGAGGCGAACCGGGGGAACUGAAACAUCUAAGUACCCCGAGGAAAAGAAAUCAACCGAGAUUCCCCCAGUAGCGGCGAGCGAACGGGGAGCAGCCCAGAGCCUGAAUCAGUGUGUGUGUUAGUGGAAGCGUCUGGAAAGGCGCGCGAUACAGGGUGACAGCCCCGUACACAAAAAUGCACAUAUUGUGAGCUCGAUGAGUAGGGCGGGACACGUGGUAUCCUGUCUGAAUAUGGGGGGACCAUCCUCCAAGGCUAAAUACUCCUGACUGACCGAUAGUGAACCAGUACCGUGAGGGAAAGGCGAAAAGAACCCCGGCGAGGGGAGUGAAAAAGAACCUGAAACCGUGUACGUACAAGCAGUGGGAGCACGCUUAGGCGUGUGACUGCGUACCUUUUGUAUAAUGGGUCAGCGACUUAUAUUCUGUAGCAAGGUUAACCGAAUAGGGGAGCCGAAGGGAAACCGAGUCUUAACUGGGCGUUAAGUUGCAGGGUAUAGACCCGAAACCCGGUGAUCUAGCCAUGGGCAGGUUGAAGGUUGGGUAACACUAACUGGAGGACCGAACCGACUAAUGUUGAAAAAUUAGCGGAUGACUUGUGGCUGGGGGUGAAAGGCCAAUCAAACCGGGAGAUAGCUGGUUCUCCCCGAAAGCUAUUUAGGUAGCGCCUCGUGAAUUCAUCUCCGGGGGUAGAGCACUGUUUCGGCAAGGGGGUCAUCCCGACUUACCAACCCGAUGCAAACUGCGAAUACCGGAGAAUGUUAUCACGGGAGACACACGGCGGGUGCUAACGUCCGUCGUGAAGAGGGAAACAACCCAGACCGCCAGCUAAGGUCCCAAAGUCAUGGUUAAGUGGGAAACGAUGUGGGAAGGCCCAGACAGCCAGGAUGUUGGCUUAGAAGCAGCCAUCAUUUAAAGAAAGCGUAAUAGCUCACUGGUCGAGUCGGCCUGCGCGGAAGAUGUAACGGGGCUAAACCAUGCACCGAAGCUGCGGCAGCGACGCUUAUGCGUUGUUGGGUAGGGGAGCGUUCUGUAAGCCUGUGAAGGUGUGCUGUGAGGCAUGCUGGAGGUAUCAGAAGUGCGAAUGCUGACAUAAGUAACGAUAAAGCGGGUGAAAAGCCCGCUCGCCGGAAGACCAAGGGUUCCUGUCCAACGUUAAUCGGGGCAGGGUGAGUCGACCCCUAAGGCGAGGCCGAAAGGCGUAGUCGAUGGGAAACAGGUUAAUAUUCCUGUACUUGGUGUUACUGCGAAGGGGGGACGGAGAAGGCUAUGUUGGCCGGGCGACGGUUGUCCCGGUUUAAGCGUGUAGGCUGGUUUUCCAGGCAAAUCCGGAAAAUCAAGGCUGAGGCGUGAUGACGAGGCACUACGGUGCUGAAGCAACAAAUGCCCUGCUUCCAGGAAAAGCCUCUAAGCAUCAGGUAACAUCAAAUCGUACCCCAAACCGACACAGGUGGUCAGGUAGAGAAUACCAAGGCGCUUGAGAGAACUCGGGUGAAGGAACUAGGCAAAAUGGUGCCGUAACUUCGGGAGAAGGCACGCUGAUAUGUAGGUGAAGUCCCUUGCGGAUGGAGCUGAAAUCAGUCGAAGAUACCAGCUGGCUGCAACUGUUUAUUAAAAACACAGCACUGUGCAAACACGAAAGUGGACGUAUACGGUGUGACGCCUGCCCGGUGCCGGAAGGUUAAUUGAUGGGGUCAGCGCAAGCGAAGCUCUUGAUCGAAGCCCCGGUAAACGGCGGCCGUAACUAUAACGGUCCUAAGGUAGCGAAAUUCCUUGUCGGGUAAGUUCCGACCUGCACGAAUGGCGUAAUGAUGGCCAGGCUGUCUCCACCCGAGACUCAGUGAAAUUGAACUCGCUGUGAAGAUGCAGUGUACCCGCGGCAAGACGGAAAGACCCCGUGAACCUUUACUAUAGCUUGACACUGAACAUUGAGCCUUGAUGUGUAGGAUAGGUGGGAGGCUUUGAAGUGUGGACGCCAGUCUGCAUGGAGCCGACCUUGAAAUACCACCCUUUAAUGUUUGAUGUUCUAACGUUGACCCGUAAUCCGGGUUGCGGACAGUGUCUGGUGGGUAGUUUGACUGGGGCGGUCUCCUCCUAAAGAGUAACGGAGGAGCACGAAGGUUGGCUAAUCCUGGUCGGACAUCAGGAGGUUAGUGCAAUGGCAUAAGCCAGCUUGACUGCGAGCGUGACGGCGCGAGCAGGUGCGAAAGCAGGUCAUAGUGAUCCGGUGGUUCUGAAUGGAAGGGCCAUCGCUCAACGGAUAAAAGGUACUCCGGGGAUAACAGGCUGAUACCGCCCAAGAGUUCAUAUCGACGGCGGUGUUUGGCACCUCGAUGUCGGCUCAUCACAUCCUGGGGCUGAAGUAGGUCCCAAGGGUAUGGCUGUUCGCCAUUUAAAGUGGUACGCGAGCUGGGUUUAGAACGUCGUGAGACAGUUCGGUCCCUAUCUGCCGUGGGCGCUGGAGAACUGAGGGGGGCUGCUCCUAGUACGAGAGGACCGGAGUGGACGCAUCACUGGUGUUCGGGUUGUCAUGCCAAUGGCACUGCCCGGUAGCUAAAUGCGGAAGAGAUAAGUGCUGAAAGCAUCUAAGCACGAAACUUGCCCCGAGAUGAGUUCUCCCUGACCCUUUAAGGGUCCUGAAGGAACGUUGAAGACGACGACGUUGAUAGGCCGGGUGUGUAAGCGCAGCGAUGCGUUGAGCUAACCGGUACUAAUGAACCGUGAGGCUUAACCUUACAACGCCGAAGCUGUU